GCACAGGUAGUUCAGUGGUAGUGCCCGGUAAGCGGAAGCCCCGGGUUCGAUUCCCGGUCUGUGCA
rnacentral:tRNA from 1 species